AUUGAACGCUGGCGGCAUGCCUUACACAUGCAAGUCGAACGGCAGCACGGGAGCAAUCCUGGUGGCGAGUGGCGAACGGGUGAGUAAAGUAUCGGAACGUGCCCAGUCGUGGGGGAUAACGUAGCGAAAGUUACGCUAAUACCGCAUACGAUCUAUGGAUGAAAGCGGGGGAUCGCAAGACCUCGCGCGAUUGGAGCGGCCGAUCUCAGUUUAGGUAGUUGGUGGGGUAAAGGCUCACCAAGCCCACGAUCUGUAGCUGGUCUGAGAGGACGACCAGCCACCCUGGGACUGGGACACGGCCCAGUGUCCUACGGAAGGAAGCAGUGGGGAAUGUUGGACAAUGGGCGCAAGCCUGAUCCAGCCAUGCCGCGUGCAGGAUGAAUGCCUUCGGGUUGUAAACUGCUUUUGUACGGAACGAAAAGGUUUGGCCUAAUACGCUGAACUCAUGACGGUACCGUAAGAAUAAGCACCGGCUAACUACGUGCCAGCCGCCGCCGUAAGAC
rnacentral:rRNA from 1 species